rnacentral:rRNA from 1 species
UACGGGGGGGGCAAGCGAUGUUCGGCCUUACUGGUCGUCCAGGGCUCGUAGGCGGCCAACUAAGUCGGAUGUGAAAUCCCCAGGCUUAACCUGGGAACUGCAUCCGAUACUGGAUGGCUUGAAUCCGGGAGAGGGAUGCAGAAUUCCAGGUGUAGCGGUGAAAUGCGUAGAUAUCUGGAGGAAUACCGGUGGCGAAGGCGGGUCUCUGGGCCGAUACUGACGCUGAGGAGCGAAAGCGUGGGGAGCGAACAGG